UGACUCUCUUUAGAGAGUUCUUUUAUCUUAAUCGUCAGACUAAAACUAAGGAAGGCCCCAAUGUGUAACUUGGUGGCGUUUCCAUACAAAAUAGGAAGAAUAGUCCUUUUCCUGAGACCAACCUGAUGAGUCAUCUGAAAGGAUGGAACAAGACUUGGUUCUACUGUAAAACACCGCUCCUGUGGACUAGAACCCACUGUCGGGUUAUAGAUUCGAACGGCUUGGUUCCGAUGCUGAAUUCCUGGGUUGGCCAACCGACAAAGGAAAAAAAUUGCUUGCCCCUAUGUUACUGAAGUUAAAAGUCCUCAAUGCCAAUGGCCUUACUGGGAUCGACCUGAUCCUAUGUUGGAAUACCUGACGGAUCCAAUCCGUAAGUAUAAGGGAUGAUUUAAUGUGCAACUACACCGACGAGUCAAAGAAUGCGCAACGCUUCAGCAAGAGAGACUUGAUUGAUAAAGCCAUCAAUAAGCUGACCAAGACAUUCUUUUCUCACUCUAAAGAAAAGUAUAGUACAACCAGGUUGGCCCCGUUGUGAUUUAAGACUCUAGUUCCUCCAGCUGACUCUGAUUCCUGGAAAGAUGUUUCCUAGGGUUCUCCCCCUUCUUCAAGCCGUGGGAAAGAAAAGGCUCCUGAAUCGUCUUCAGGAGAGGAAUCUGAGGAUAACACCGAGACUAGUCAAGCCGGCGAUGUCGAGCGAGAUCAACACGCCGCUCAAUCAAAAUGCAAAACCUGGAGUUGCUCCAGAGAGAUGUCCGUCGGCUUAGAGCCACCUACUCGCAAGCAACGCCAUGAGGUGCCACAUAGUCCAAAUGUUUCUCACCCUCAAGUCGGUCUCUUGAAACAAUCCCUUAGUCCAUCUAAUUCACUUUAUCUGCACGAGUCAUCUCCCUCAUCUGGCGACUCGAGUGAGACCCAACUUCCAGCUUUCACAAUUACUCAUGGCUCACACUAAGCCGUGUGUUGAAGUUGAGCCAUCUUGGAAUGCUGAGCUGGAUCUUGGCAUAAGGAUGACUCCUCCCAAUGAACCAGCUAUCGUGGGAACAACUGGUGGUAAACAAGGCGCCCCUGAUGAGGAAGCCUUUCAAACUUCAAGCCCUGCUGCUCCUCCAAGCCUAGUACAUUGUAUGGAUAAUAUUACUCCAUUAGCUGGCACGGAUGACACAUAAGUGAUUAUUACUGAAGGGGCUUAUCAAGCUCCCAUCCCUUCAUCGUUACAUAACGUAAGUUGUGUCCAAGGAUGAGUCGACAUAUGAAGAGAAAGGAAAAGCCAAACUUGAGCUUCUAGAAUUUUAAGACCUUGAAUUCCAAGGGAUGUAUCAGUAGUAUGUGACCCGGCUAUGUGAGAGCCGGGAUUUUGAAGUAAACCGUGUCAAUACCAUAAAUACCAAAUAAGAGGUAAACCAAUUACCCCUUUGCUUA